rnacentral:sRNA from 1 species
GAGCGCCUCCCAGCCCUUGCGGCCGGGAAUGCCAUAAGGCGCAAGCGCCGCGUUGAAAUUGUCGGUACAGUUGACGUGGCCGGGAUAGCCCAU